rnacentral:rRNA from 1 species
UCGAGAAUCUUCGGCAAUGGGCGAAAGCCUGACCGAGCGAUGCCGCGUGCGGGAUGAAGGCCCUCGGGUUGUAAACCGCUGUCAGUUGGGAGGAAGGCUCCGUGAAGAACGGAGUUUGACCUAUCUUCAGAGGAAGUCCGGGCUAAGUUCGUGCCAGCAGCCGCGGUAAUACGAACCGGACAAACGUUAUUCGGAAUUAUUGGGCUUAAAGGGUGCGUAGGCGGCGCGGUAAGUGAGGUGUGAAAGCCCACGGCUCAACCGUGGAACUGCGCUUCAUACUGCCGUGCUUGAGGGAGACAGAGGUAAGCGGAACUGAUGGUGGAGCGGUGAAAUGCGUUGAUAUCAUCAGGAACACCGGUGGCGAAAGCGGCUUACUGGGUCUCUUCUGACGCUGAGGCACGAAAGCUAGGGGAGCGAACGGGAUUAGAUACCCCGGUAGUCCUAGCUGUAAACGAUGAGCACUUGGUUGGGGGCCCUCCAUAGGUUCCGGCCGAAGCGAAAGUG